CUGUAAGCCUGUGAAGGUGUGCUGUGAGGCAUGCUGGAGGUAUCAGAAGUGCGAAUGCUGACAUAAGUAACGAUAAAGCGGGUGAAAAGCCCGCUCGCCGGAAGACCAAGGGUUCCUGUCCAACGUUAAUCGGGGCAGGGUGAGUCGACCCCUAAGGCGAGGCCGAAAGGCGUAGUCGAUGGGAAACAGGUUAAUAUUCCUGUACUUGGUGUUACUGCGAAGGGGGGACGGAGAAGGCUAUGUUGGCCGGGCGACGGUUGUCCCGGUUUAAGCGUGUAGGCUGGUUUUCCAGGCAAAUCCGGAAAAUCAAGGCUGAGGCGUGAUGACGAGGCACUACGGUGCUGAAGCAACAAAUGCCCUGCUUCCAGGAAAAGCCUCUAAGCAUCAGGUAACAUCAAAUCGUACCCCAAACCGACACAGGUGGUCAGGUAGAGAAUACCAAGGCGCUUGAGAGAACUCGGGUGAAGGAACUAGGCAAAAUGGUGCCGUAACUUCGGGAGAAGGCACGCUGAUAUGUAGGUGAAGUCCCUCGCGGAUGGAGCUGAAAUCAGUCGAAGAUACCAGCUGGCUGCAACUGUUUAUUAAAAACACAGCACUGUGCAAACACGAAAGUGGACGUAUACGGUGUGACGCCUGCCCGGUGC
rnacentral:rRNA from 1 species